GCCGCCGCCGCAGCAAACAGCUACAGCUUGGAGUAGCAGCGUGGGCGGGACAUUGUGGCUGACAGAGCACUUUUUACGAGCAUCAGACUAGUCCAGCCAAGUCAAGACUUUGAAUCACUAGACUCUUCACGUUGUUAAUAAGUCAUACAGUCAGAUGACCUACACUUCUACCCUGCUCCUUCAACCUUAAUGCAGCUUAUGGCGAGACUGAGCAAGAUGUGUGGGUAGGAGGAGCCACAGACACAGCUGACAGGCACAUCGAGACUUUUCCUGAGAAUUUGAAAUUGUUCAGUGGGAAAGAGAAUCGUUGUCAGAACAUGGUCAAAAGAGGAUCUGCGGUGAACAAUGCCUUUGGGAACUGUGAGAGAAAUCCCAGGAAUAAAGGGCAAAGGGCCUUUACCUCAAAUUGUUACCUCAGGAGUGGGACGUGGGACUGAUUCAGACAGUCGAGAGCAGCAAACUAUUUGCCUCCUGUGGGCUCUGAGAGGACCUCUUUGCCAGCUGUAGAGAGUUUAAAUUUGAGGACUCUGGAGAGAGAAUGAAAGCCAGAGCCCAGAGAGUGUGGAGGAGCUCCGAGAAAGAACGAAGCUGCAGCUGCUUCCCUCCUAUCACUCCUGUUGCUGUUGAUGCAGCCAGACAAGAAGUUGGAGAUCUCCUGAAGCAAGGAUUAGACUAGCUCCAAGGAACCAGAUGACCCUAACCAGCAGGAAACAGCUAAGAGAACUGCACCUCCUCUCCUAUUAACCCUUUAUCUCUCCUUCCUGGUGUUGGGGUGUUGGAAGGGAUUGGAGUGGAGAAAGAGAUAUAAGAAAUGUGCAUAAAAGAGUUUUUUAAAAAGUAUAUCAACAAUGUAGCAAUU